UACGUAGGGUGCAAGCGUUAAUCGGAAUUACUGGGCGUAAAGCGUGCGCAGGCGGCUUUGCAAGACAGAUGUGAAAUCCCCGGGCUUAACCUGGGAAUGGCGUUUGGGACUGGGUCGCUAGAGUGUGGCAGAGGGAGGUGGAAUUCCACGUGUAGCAGUGAAAUGCGUAGAGAUGUGGAGGAACACCGAUGGCGAAGGCAGCCUCCUGGGCCAGCACUGACGCUCAUGCACGAAAGCGUGGGGAGCAAACAGG
rnacentral:rRNA from 1 species